GAUGAACGCUGGCGGCGUGCCUAAUACAUGCAAGUCGAGCGAACAGACGAGGAGCUUGCUCCUCUGACGUUAGCGGCGGACGGGUGAGUAACACGUGGAUAACCUACCUAUAAGACUGGGAUAACUUCGGGAAACCGGAGCUAAUACCGGAUAAUAUAUUGAACCGCAUGGUUCCAUAGUGAAAGACGGUUUUGCUGUCACUUAUAGAUGGAUCCGCGCCGCAUUAGCUAGUUGGUAAGGUAACGGCUUACCAAGGCAACGAUGCGUAGCCGACCUGAGAGGGUGAUCGGCCACACUGGAACUGAGACACGGUCCAGACUCCUACGGGAGGCAGCAGUAGGGAAUCUUCCGCAAUGGGCGAAAGCUUGACGGAGCAACGCCGCGUGAGUGAUGAAGGUCUUCGGAUCGUAAAACUCUGUUAUUAGGGAAGAACAAAUGUGUAAGUAACUAUGCACGUCUUGACGGUACCUAAUCAGAAAGCCACGGCUAACUACGUG
rnacentral:rRNA from 1 species